ACUACAACUAUACAUAAGGCUGCAUAAGUACAAAAACUGUGUAAUACUUAAAGACGACUAGCAAAUCAAAGCAACACCUAAUCCAGCUGAAAAGAUGAGCAGAUAGGCAUCUGCAGCUUUGAACAUUGUAGCUAAAAUAAGCCUCUGAAGAAAACAAGACAUUUUGCUGAAACUGGAUACUGGAGUGGGGAAGGAGGCAACCACAUGGAAGACAAUUACCUGGAUAAUUAAUAAUAUCAAAUUUAAAUUAGAGAGGAGCUCAAGGAGUCCAAAGCUGGGUCAUGCCCAGACAACAUGGAGUAGAGAAAGUGAAAAGAGGUCACCAUCCAGUGAGUAGCUCCAAAUCACAAACAGUAAUGAAAUCAGCUACACAGAUAAAAGAGUGAGGUCUCUGUGGUCGCACCUUCGGUACAACCUGGUCCAAAAGGCAGCAGUGCAAGUGACAGUCCAGGCAUUCUUA